GAUAAUCGUUUCUUCAAACUGAUGACAAAAGAAGCACUCGGAUUACUUGUGUCACAUAGAAUUUAGGAUUGAUAGUAUGCACAUUGGGAAGCAGGCUGAGAUCUGACAAACGCCACUUCCUCAAUGACAUCAUCCUCUAGGAAGUGACAUCAUAUUGGAGGGAACAAAAGUUUGGCCUCUGGCUCCUGCAGGGCCCCCAAGCGAGCACUUUUUUGGGGUUCACAGUGCGGUGACCUCUGAGGAGAUGCAGUAACGUCCUGAACUCUUCAGCAUCAAAGAGAUCUGCGGGGGGCGGAGCUGAUACAGAACGCAUCACAAUGCCGGUCCACCUACACUCUCCCGCUCCUGUUCCUCACUUUCCUCAAGUAUGCGAAUAUGAAUGACUUCAGUCCUCUCCCUGUGACCUCUCUAUCACAUCACCUCUGGUUUGCAGCAGUGAUUCUUUGCAUUUCUUUAGGAUAAAAGCAGCACGAUAUCAGGCAGCGGUCAAAGAGCAGGUCUACUUUCCCUCGUUCUCCCCCUCUCUUGUUUUCUGCCUCUGGCAAAUCAUUCCCUCUCCUCUCCUCUUCUCUUCUCUUCUUUUCUCUUUUUUUUUUCUCUUUCUCUGUUCUUGUUGGGCUGUAAUUUAUGAUGUUGCAGCAGCACAAAUGAGAUGAAGUUUUUAUAACAGACGCCUGCUGACACACUUUAGCUCCCCUCUCUCUGUUAGGGAAAGUUAUUGGGCUUGUUAGUAACGGUCAUAAAAAGCUCGGGGCCGUUCACACUGUGCUUGUCAUGAUGUAGUUUAGUUAAUGUCAUUGUUUCAAGAGGGUGAAGUUAAUAAAUCACUAACUUCUCAAUGUGCUGCACACACACACACACACACACACACACACACACACACACACACACACACACACACAC
ensembl:lncRNA